rnacentral:rRNA from 1 species
GACGAACGCUGGCGGCGUGCUUAACACAUGCAAGUCGAACGCUGAAGCUCAGCUUUUGUUGGGUGGAUGAGUGGCGAACGGGUGAGUAACACGUGAGUAACCUGCCUCCUUCUUUGGGAUAACGCCCGGAAACGGGUGCUAAUACUGGAUAUUCACUGGUCUUCGCAUGGGGGUUGGUGGAAAGGGUUUUUCUGGUGGGGGAUGGGCUCGCGGCCUAUCAGCUUGUUGGUGGGGUGAUGGCCUACCAAGGCUUUGACGGGUAGCCGGCCUGGGAGGGUGACCGGUCACAUUGGGACUGAGAUACGGCCCAGGCUCCUACGGGGGGCAGCAGUGGGGAAUAUUGCACAAUGGGCGCAAGCCUGAUGCAGCGACGCCGCGUGAGGGAUGGAGGCCUUCGGGUUGUGAACCUCUUUCGCUCAUGGUCAAGCCGCAACAAUGGUUGUGGUGAGGGUAGUGGGUAAAGAAGCGCCGGCUAACUACGUG